rnacentral:rRNA from 1 species
AAAUUGAAGAGUUUGAUCAUGGCUCAGAUUGAACGCUGGCGGCAGGCCUAACACAUGCAAGUCGAGCGGUAGCACAGAGAGCUUGCUCUCGGGUGACGAGCGGCGGACGGGUGAGUAAUGUCUGGGAAACUGCCUGAUGGAGGGGGAUAACUACUGGAAACGGUAGCUAAUACCGCAUAAUGUCGCAAGACCAAAGAGGGGGACCUUCGGGCCUCUUGCCAUCAGAUGUGCCCAGAUGGGAUUAGCUAGUAGGUGGGGUAACGGCUCACCUAGGCGACGAUCCCUAGCUGGUCUGAGAGGAUGACCAGCCACACUGGAACUGAGACACGGUCCAGACUCCUACGGGAGGCAGCAGUGGGGAAUAUUGCACAAUGGGCGCAAGCCUGAUGCAGCCAUGCCGCGUGUAUGAAGAAGGCCUUCGGGUUGUAAAGUACUUUCAGCGGGGAGGAAGGCGAUAAGGUUAAUAACCUUGUCGAUUGACGUUACCCGCAGAAGAAGCACCGGCUAACUCCGUGCCAGCAGCCGCGGUAAUACGGAGGGUGCAAGCGUUAAUCGGAAUUACUGGGCGUAAAGCGCACGCAGGCGGUCUGUCAAGUCGGAUGUGAAAUCCCCGGGCUCAACCUGGGAACUGCAUUCGAAACUGGCAGGCUAGAGUCUUGUAGAGGGGGGUAGAAUUCCAGGUGUAGCGGUGAAAUGCGUAGAGAUCUGGAGGAAUACCGGUGGCGAAGGCGGCCCCCUGGACAAAGACUGACGCUCAGGUGCGAAAGCGUGGGGAGCAAACAGGAUUAGAUACCCUGGUAGUCCACGCCGUAAACGAUGUCGACUUGGAGGUUGUGCCCUUGAGGCGUGGCUUCCGGAGCUAACGCGUUAAGUCGACCGCCUGGGGAGUACGGCCGCAAGGUUAAAACUCAAAUGAAUUGACGGGGGCCCGCACAAGCGGUGGAGCAUGUGGUUUAAUUCGAUGCAACGCGAAGAACCUUACCUACUCUUGACAUCCAGAGAACUUUCCAGAGAUGGAUUGGUGCCUUCGGGAACUCUGAGACAGGUGCUGCAUGGCUGUCGUCAGCUCGUGUUGUGAAAUGUUGGGUUAAGUCCCGCAACGAGCGCAACCCUUAUCCUUUGUUGCCAGCGGUUAGGCCGGGAACUCAAAGGAGACUGCCAGUGAUAAACUGGAGGAAGGUGGGGAUGACGUCAAGUCAUCAUGGCCCUUACGAGUAGGGCUACACACGUGCUACAAUGGCGCAUACAAAGAGAAGCGACCUCGCGAGAGCAAGCGGACCUCAUAAAGUGCGUCGUAGUCCGGAUUGGAGUCUGCAACUCGACUCCAUGAAGUCGGAAUCGCUAGUAAUCGUAGAUCAGAAUGCUACGGUGAAUACGUUCCCGGGCCUUGUACACACCGCCCGUCACACCAUGGGAGUGGGUUGCAAAAGAAGUAGGUAGCUUAACCUUCGGGAGGGCGCUUACCACUUUGUGAUUCAUGACUGGGGUGAAGUCGUAACAAGGUAACCGUAGGGGAACCUGCGGUUGGAUCACCUCCUUACCUUAAAGAA